rnacentral:rRNA from 1 species
GUGGAAGUACAGUAAUGUAUGCAGCUGACUAAUACUAAUAGGUCGAGGGCUUGACCAAG